ensembl:lncRNA
CUAGCACCCGGGCCAGAGGCCAUGUGGAAGGCACGCUCGGGUUUCUCUUCAACUCGUACAAAUCUUUCGCCUUUUACUAAAGAUUUCCGUGGAGGGGAACACCCCCGAGUUUACGGUAUUUUUGGAAGCUCUGCUUCGGCGGAGCAUCACCUGUCUGUCUAAAGUCAAGUUUGUUCCCUGUUCUCCUCUCUGUUCCUCUGGUUAGGUCCUCUCUGUUCCUCUGGCUUGUUCCGCCGUGCGUGGUGGUGGUUCCCCAAGGCAUGGCGAUGAGCUCCAGCAAGGACUAUUUGAAAUGUGGGGAGGCUGUUCAAAUAUAUUCAAGUGCACUCCAGCUGACUGUAUCCUUCAUAUCCCUGCAUGGCCCUGGCAAAGGCUUUGAGGUGCAUUGGCAGCCUGCCUGAAAGUUUUUUUUUUUUUUUUUAAACUGAUUUUGUGUGUGUUUGCUUGUUAGUUCAGUGUCCAGAAGCCACGCCUACGCAGUUAAAGUGCCUGCGACAGACAGACAGACAGACACACCGUGAGGGCCGCGCCCGGUGCCGUCCUAGCACCCGGGCCAGAGGCCAUGUGGAAGGCACGCUCGGGUUUCUCUUCAACUCGUACAAAUCUUUCGCCUUUUACUAAAGAUUUCCGUGGAGGGGAACACCCCCGAGUUUACGGUAUUUUUGGAAGCUCUGCUUCGGCGGAGCAUCACCUGUCUGUCUAAAGUCAAGUUUGUUCCCUGUUCUCCUCUCUGUUCCUCUGGCUUGUUCCGCCGUGCGUGGUGGUGGUUCCCCAAGGCAUGGCGAUGAGCUCCAGCAAGGACUAUUUGAAAUGUGGGGAGGCUGUUCAAAUAUAUUCAAGUGCACUCCAGCUGACUGUAUCCUUCAUAUCCCUGCAUGGCCCUGGCAAAGGCUUUGAGGUGCUUGGGGUGCAUUGGCAGCCUGCCUGAAAGUUGGUGGUGCCCCCACCGUCCCUGUGCUUCCCUUGGCCAGGAAGGCCGGCGCCAGCUCGGUCUUGUACAACUCAUACUUACCUGGCAGGGGCGAUACAAUGAUCAAGAAGGUUGUUUGCCCAGGGCGAGGCUCGGCCAUUGCACUCCGGUCGUGCUGACCCCUGCGAAUUCCUCAAAUGUAGGAAUCUCGACUGCACAAUUUCUGGUAGUGGGGAACUGCGUUCGCGCUCUCCCCUGACGUGAUGGUUUAAUGACAGACUAAAGUGCCGGCUUUGACUCGAGCUGACUGUAUCCUUCAUAUCCCUGCAUGGCCCUGGCAAAGGCUUUGAGGUGCAUUGGCAGCCUGCCUGAAAGUUUUUUUUUUUUUUUUUAAACUGAUUUUGUGUGUGUUUGCUUGUUAGUUCAGUGUCCAGAAGCCACGCCUACGCAGUUAAAGUGCCUGCGACAGACAGACAGACAGACACACCGUGAGGGCCGCGCCCGGUGCCGUCCUAGCACCCGGGCCAGAGGCCAUGUGGAAGGCACGCUCGGGUUUCUCUUCAACUCGUACAAAUCUUUCGCCUUUUACUAAAGAUUUCCGUGGAGGGGAACACCCCCGAGUUUACGGUAUUUUUGGAAGCUCUGCUUCGGCGGAGCAUCACCUGUCUGUCUAAAGUCAAGUUUGUUCCCUGUUCUCCUCUCUGUUCCUCUGGUUAGGUCCUCUCUGUUCCUCUGGCUUGUUCCGCCGUGCGUGGUGGUGGUUCCCCAAGGCAUGGCGAUGAGCUCCAGCAAGGACUAUUUGAAAUGUGGGGAGGCUGUUCAAAUAUAU